rnacentral:rRNA from 1 species
UACGAACUGUGCGAACGUUAUUCGGAAUCACUGGGCUUACAGGGUGCGUAGGCGGCUUAGCAAGUCAGGUGUGAAAGCCCCCGGCUCAACCGGGGAACUGCGCUUGAAACUGCUGAGCUCGAGUCGGCUAGAGGUACACGGAACUUCCAGUGGAGCGGUGAAAUGUGUUGAUAUUGGAAGGAACACCGGAGGCGAAAGCGGUGUACUGGGGCUGGUCUGACGCUGAGGCACGAAAGCCAGGGGAGCGAACGGG